CAGUAGCCGCGGGAAUACGUAGGGUGCGAGCGUUAAUCGGAAUUACUGGGCGUAAAGCGUGCGCAGGCGGUUGUGUAAGACAGGUGUGAAAUCCCCGGGCUUAACCUGGGAGCUGCGCUUGUGACUGCACAGCUAGAGUAUGGCAGAGGGGGGUGGAAUUCCACGUGUAGCAGUGAAAUGCGUAGAGAUGUGGAGGAACACCGAUGGCGAAGGCAGCCCCCUGGGCCAAUACUGACGCUCAUGCACGAAAGCGUGGGGAGCAAACAGGAUUAGAUACCCGCGUAGUCCCUGUCUCUUAUAC
rnacentral:rRNA from 1 species